GGGGUCCUGGGCCGCGAGGCGGGCGCCGGCGCGGGUCUUGGCUUCGGCGAGUCGCAGCGCCAGCGUGCGGGGGCGUUCGUUGCGCUCGGGCGUCUC
rnacentral:tRNA from 1 species